GAGUACGUGAAACUGCUUAGAGGUUAAGCCCGAUGAACCUGAAUAUCCAUUAUGGAAAAUUCAUCAUUAAUACUAUAUUAUUUUAUUAUUUAAUAUAGAAAUAGUGUGCAAUUUUUCCAUAUAAGGACAUUGUAAUCUGUUAAUGUAAUAAAAAUUUAUCAAAAGAUCUAUUACGUAAGUUUAUUCAAAUUAGUUAUUUUCGGAUAAUUAACAUAAAAUAAAUGUAUAAGAUUUGAUAAAUCAUUGACAGAUUUAAUUAUAUAAAGUGCUUAAAUUUCUAUGAAAUUUUACAAAUGUUAAUUAAACUAAGUUUAUUUAAUAAUAAUUGUAUGCACUUUUAUGAUUAACAAUGCGAUAGAUUCAGGAUACCUUCGGGACCCGUCUUGAAACACGGACCAAGGAGUCUAACAUAUGUGCAAGUCAUUGGGUAUCUUUAAUGAAACCUAAUGGCAUAAUUAACUUAACUGUUAAAUUGGGAUUAAUUUAUGUUUUAUUAUGAAAUAUGAAUUCAAUCCCGGGGCGUUCUAUACAGUUAUGCAUAAUAAUAUUUAUAUUAUUUAUGUCUCUAACUAGAGCGUACCUUGAGCAAAUAUGCUGUGACCCGAA
rnacentral:rRNA from 1 species